CCUACGGGAGGCAGCAGUGAGGACUAUUGGUCAAUGGACGAGAGUCUGAACCAGCCAAGUAGCGUGAAGGAUGACUGCCCUAUGGGUUGUAAACUUCUUUUAUAUGGGAAUAAAAUGUUCCACGUGUGGGAUUUUGUAUGUACCAUAUGAAUAAGGAUCGGCUAACUCCGUGCCAGCAGCCGCGGUAAUCCGGAGGAUCCGAGCGUUAUCCGGAUUUAUUGGGUUUAAAGGGAGCGUAGGUGGAUUGUUAAGUCAGUUGUGAAAGUUUGCGGCUCAACCGUAAAAUUGCAGUUGAAACUGGCAGUCUUGAGUACAGUAGAGGUGGGCGGAAUGCGUGGUGUAGCGGUGAAAUGCUUAGAUAUCACGAAGAACUCCGAUUGCGAAGGCAGUUCACUGGACUGCAACUGACACUGAGGCUCGAAAGUGUGGGUAUCAAACAGGAUUAGAUACCCGGGUAGUC
rnacentral:rRNA from 1 species